UACGAAGGGGGCUAGCGUUGCUCGGAUUUACUGGGCGUAAAGCGCACGUAGGCGGACUUUUAAGUCAGGGGUGAAAUCCCAGAGCUCAACUCUGGAACUGCCUUUGAUACUGGGAGUCUUGAGUAUGGAAGAGGUUAGUGGAACUGCGAGUGUAGAGGUGAAAUUCGUAGAUAUUCGCAAGAACACCAGUGGCGAAGGCGGCCAACUGGUCCAUUACUGACGCUGAGGUGCGAAAGCGUGGGGAGCAAACAGG
rnacentral:rRNA from 1 species